rnacentral:misc_RNA from 1 species
GAUGAAGAACGCGGCGAAAUGCGAUACGUAGUGUGAAUUGCAGAAUUCAGUGAAUCAUCGAAUCUUUGAACGCACAUUGCACCUCUCGGUAUUCCGGGAGGUAUGCCUGUUCGAGCGUCAUUUGUACCCUCAAGCUCUGCUUGGUGUUGGGUGUUUGUUCCGCCUCUGUGUGUGAACUCGCCUCAAAACAAUUGGCAGCCGGCGUACUUGUUUCGGAGCGCAGCACAUUUUGCGAUCCAGAUCAACGUACAGCGGCAUCCAAGAAGCCUUAUUUAACGCUCUUGACCUCGGAUCAGGUAGGGAUACCCGCUGAACUUAAGCAUAUCAAUAAGCGGAGGA